rnacentral:pre_miRNA from 13 species
ACCGUAGUCAGUAGUUGGGGGGUGGGAACGGCUUCAUACAGGAGUUGAUGCACAGUUAUCCAGCUCCUAUAUGAUGCCUUUCUUCAUCCCUUCAAC